rnacentral:lncRNA from 1 species
UAAGAAGGUGCCCUAGAUCCACAUGCCCAACAAAAGGCACUAUGCAUAUAUUCUAUUCUCCACAAAAGAUAAUGUUGAGGUGUGAGAGAGAUAAGGGGGACUUGUGUCAGUCAGUCCAUGUGUAUGAGAGAGAAAAUACAGACAGAGAGAACCCAAAAACCAAAUGCAAAUGAAGAGAAUUGCAUUCCUUUAAUAUUUCAUACUUCAAAAUCUAGGUUUACAUGAUAAUCUCACUCUAAAUCCCCAAACAAAACUAAUAAUUUCUUCUUACAAAACUCACUCUCUAUCUCCUAACCCAACUAACAAAUAACUUAUUUUUACCUACACCCCAUCUAACAAAUAAAAACUCCUUAUUUUCUUCAUCUCCUCUCUCUCUCUUAAACACAGAACUAAAGAUCACUCUUCUCUUCUCUGGGUUUCUGAAUUGGAAUUGGCACAGCAAUUCGGGGCGGAGCGUUAACAGGGAGUGGAGGAGGGGCUUCUGCCAGAGGAGGCUUAGAUGCAGAGACCUCAACACUCUUUUCAUCGACAUCGCCACUGCUAACUGAGAAGCUCUCUGGAAAUGAGAACACUGUCUGUGAGGGCCUUCUAGAGUGGCGCUGAGGCUUCUGAGACAUCUUCAGAGAAAACCCAGAAACUGAAAACAGUUGAUAAUGAAGAAACAAUGGAGGAAAAUCAGGAGAGAGACACAAAUUGCAGGAACUGAGAAUGAAGAAACAGGGGAGAUGAAAAAAAAAAAAUCAAGAGAGAGAGAGAAUGCGUGUGAGGAAGGGAAGAGGAGUGGUUUUAUACGUGGAAGAGUGAAGGGAAG